ACAAACAAAAAGCAACAAGGAACGCAGCAAAUUAAAUCAAAACAAGAAAGAAAGAGAAACACACUAAAACAAAUACAAACGCGAUCACCAAAUUAUCAGUGCUUUGACAUCACUAUUUCCGCCGGCCGAUGCUAGCGCCAGUGUCACAGCGGCGGUCAGAGGGAGUAGUCACGUCGCUCGCCUGAGACUGAGGCAAGAAUGUUGGAUUCACAAACUCGACUUAAGAAGCGCCGACUUAAGGAGCUCUGAGCCAACGAAGCCACUCUCAAAGAUUGCUUAAAGGCCUCAGGCUCUUUCUUCAUUAUUCCAGUCAUUUUCAUCUUUUCAUCUUCACUAUAAAAGCAUUUAAUCACAACUUUGGCAUCACAGUACGUGUCUUCAUUACCCGUAAAUUGAUCACCUUCGUCCGUUCAGUAUCACUAUAGGCAACUAUUACAGUGAAGUCACUAUCACUAUAAUUAUUCUCAGCAAAGCAGUCCGAGGAUUAAGACCUCACCAUCAUUUUGUACAUCACAAAGGCAUAAGUAGAUUUUUUUUAUCAUCACAAGGGCAACAUAUCAUCACUACAAGUUCUUUAAUCAUCAUUAUUACAAACUUGAUCAUCACUACGGAACCACUUUCUCCUUUAUAAAAAAAAAAAAAAAAAAAAAAAAAACGGUUCAUUACCCUACUUCACUAGCUUGAAAAUCGAAACACCAAUUUUGAUUAGCUUUUAUUAAAUUAAUCAAAACAGUUAAUCAAAGAGAUCGUUUAUUUGUUAUCUUGCACAGUUUUUUUUUUUUUAUGUCUUCACUUGAUUUUAUUAGGGUAUCAAUUUGCCUUCGUGCCUCAGACGAAUAUAUAUUUUUUUUUUGUGGGGUCUAUCUGUCUUACUGUCUGGCUCUCUCUCUCUCUCUCUCUCUCUCUCUCUCUCUCUCU